rnacentral:lncRNA from 13 species
CUAUGAGUCAAUUAAACCUCUUUCCUUUGUAAAUUAUCUAGUCUCAGGUAGUUCUUUAUAGCAGUGUGAUAAUGAACUAAUACACACACAAAAAUAGUCUUUCUGUCUAUCUUACCUAUUUUUUCCUAAAUUUCAUUAUUGGGAAGGGAUUUUCAAAUUUUAUGCAUCCACUGGUGAACUUCUUAACAUACAGAGUCUGAUCUAGUAGAUUUGAGGUUUGAGGCAGGGUCUAAGAUUCUGUGUUUCUCAGGAGCUCCCAGAUGACGUACAUGCUGCCAUCAUACAAGCCACACUAUGUUUAAACGAUGAUUAUUUUAAAAGUGGACCUUUGGGAAUAAUAAAGGGCUUCUUAGGUUGAAAAUAAUAGCCAUAAAAAGUUUAAUAAAAUCCCCUCUUUUUAUAGACUUCACUUGGAUUUUCCAAGUAAAAGACAAUGGAAACUGAGCUUGUCAAGCCCUAGAGAGAGACUGUUCUUUUGUUCUGAGUUAUCUACUGAGAUGGGAAGAGUUUUCCACCCAUUUUUAGAUGUACUCACUUCCAAUUCAAGGCAUGACUCUUGUCCACUCUGCUUUUCCUAGGAGACCUUAUUUUGUUCCCAUAUCAUCAUGAUGCCUAAGAACAUGUAUCUACCGAGAACCACCUAGAGGAUAAAACAGCACAGCCCACAGGCACUCCUCAGACAGUUGGAAAGUGAAGUAAAUGAACUCUGCAGUGGUGUCUUCCAGCUCUCACUUCCAACUCUCCUGUGUUUGUAGUCUCCAUGUUCCCAAACAAGGGAAAAUACAGCCACAAUCUCCAAAGGACAACGUCAUUCCCACGGAACUUCAGCAAACAGAAGUUUUUUAAAGCACACACUUCCUUUGGUGACAUCAGCGGGUUGCCUAGGUCCAUGAGGACAGCACCAGAAUUGGGAGGACAUCUGCCACCACCAGGAGGCAUAUUUUGCCACCACUAGGGGCCCAGCUCAAGCCCAGUGGGCAAUGUGAAAGAGGCGGGCAGGACCAGAUGUUGGCCGGCUUAGCCAUGUGGCCUUUUCCUUUUUCCACUUUCCAGAAGAAGAAAAACCAAGGCCCGCUAUUUUUUGCCACAUGCUCAUGGGACAGAGGGGGUGUUUCUUUGGGAUGAAGUCUGAACAAUGAAGCAGGGCCAGCCUCAUCACUUGAAGAAGUCACCAGGCUCUUUGUUUUCCCGUCCCUGCAAUUUAGCAGAUAGGUAAGUCUCUUGGCCCAUGGCUCCCUCUUUACCCAGCAAGUCUCCCUCCCCAAAGAUGAGGACCCCUGUAAUUAUCUGAGGUGAGGUCCCAGCACGGGCUCCUGGAAGCCUCCUUGCACACUAACAGUUCUGUCUUGAG